rnacentral:tRNA from 1 species
AACUAUCGCCGCGGGGGAAAUUUUGUUUUGAAAGCAAAAAAAAAGUGUUCAAUUCACUUGGUAGUUU